rnacentral:rRNA from 1 species
AAUCAACGCUGGCGGCGUGCCUCAGACAUGCAAGUCGAACGAUUAAAGCUCGUCUUCGGAGAGUGUAUAGAGUGGCGCACGGGUGACGUAACACGUAAGUAAUCUACCUUUGAGUGGGAAUAACCCGGGGAACCCAGCUAAUACCGCAUAAUGCAGCGGCACCGCAAGGUGACAGUUGUUAAAGGAGCAAUCCGCUUAAAG